rnacentral:lncRNA from 1 species
UGCCUUCUCAGAUGUUGGAGAGUGACUUUGGAAUCAGAUUAAAGAACUAUCCUGCACAGAAGUGUUUAUGACUUUCAGUGACAAACUGACUCCAGUGACAUUGAGCUAAUUUCUUUUGAUCUAAUGAAUGUAUCUGCUUCACCUUGUUCCCUUACUUUGAAUUGAUAAGCUCCAAGUAUUUAUUACUUUUUUGGGAUACUUUUUACUGAGUUCAUUCAUUUGUUUUAGUCUUUUAAUAAGUAUACUACAGUUAUUUCAUUAACCUGUUCUCAAGUGGUUUAGCUACCAUUCUGCCAUUUAAGCUAUGUUUUUAGCUAUCUGUGAUAACUUGUUAAAUAUUAAAAAGAUAUUUUGCUUCUAUUGGAACAUUUGUAUACUCGCAACUAUAUUUCUGUAAACAGCUGCAGUCAAAAAUAAAACAUUGAAAGUUUUCAUUU